UCGUAAAAUCACCGGGUUGGUGCUCGCGGUGUGGUUCACAUGCUGCAGUUCAACGGGAAGCAGGGAGGUGGCGCCAAACAUGGCGCGCCGAGCCUGCGCUGCCCCCGCAACGGUCAGCGGACGAAUCGGUUUCGAUUCCCUUUUCAACCACAUGCCACUGGAUGCCUUGAACAAGCACCUGGGAAGGCGUUGAAGAGCGUUCCGCCAGCCCGGAUACCGGCCAACACGGUGGCUGCGCG
rnacentral:ncRNA from 2 species